rnacentral:rRNA from 1 species
UCAUAUUUUUAUAAUAUGAUAAAAAAUUAAUUAAUUUUUUUAGUUGAUUUUUUAAUUUAUACAGGUGUUGCAUGGCUGUCGUCAGUUCGUGUUGUGAAAUGUUUGGUUAAUUGCUUUAACGAACGUAACCCUUAUUUUUUAUUAAAAUUUUUAAAAAAUAUUGCCAGUGAAAUACUGUGAUGAAAGGAAGGAUGAAGUCAAGUCAGUAUGACCCUUAUAGAUUGGGCUACACACGUGCUACAAAGGUAAUUACAAAAAGAAGCAAUUAUGUGAAUAAAAGCAAAUCUUUAAAAAUUAUCUCAGUUCAGAUUGUUCUCUGGAACUCGAGAACAUAAAGGAGGAAUCGCUAGUAAUCGUAAAUCAUCAAGUUACGGUGAAUAUGUUAUCAAAUCUAGUACACACCGCCCGUCACGCCAUGGAGAUUAAUUUUACUUGAACUUUUAGCGUUUAUGUUUUAUAAGAUUGUAUAACUUUAAUUAAUUAUGAUUAAAUUACAGUUUUAUAAAAUAUAAAAUUUAUUAUUAUUGUAAAAGGAAGGACUGGGGUGAAGUCGUAACAAGGUAACCAAGGGCGAAUUCUGCAGAUAUCCAUCACACUGGCGGCCGCUCGAGCAUGCAUCUAGAGGGC